rnacentral:lncRNA from 1 species
UCAAGAUGUUGUCGUGUUAUAACACGUCUAUAUGAUAAAAAUAUAAAUGAAGAAGAUUUAUUAAUAUUUAGUCACCUUGGGUGUUAGAAGCAGUGGCCAAUUCGAGUGCAAAUACUGAGAGGCCAAGUUCAAUCACCCCGUUAUAAUAAGCCGGGGCAUAUCCACCAAUAACAAAAUGUUCCAUUCGAUUCCAGUAACAGGAGUCAGCAAG